UACAGCUGGUCAGUUAGAGAGUUCCAUUCAUUCUUUUAACAGCUUUUUAUAUCCAUUUCUUGGGAUGAAAAAUUGAAAUGUCCCAGCUCCUGGACUCAAGGGGAUAUGUGAUGAUUUCAGCCUUCAUUCUUAAACAAAAAGAGUUUUUAGCACUCGUGACUGUAGAGAAAGCUUCAAAAUGUGAACCCAGUGCACCCAAAAAGGCUAAAUAUAAUUAUAGAACCUAACACCAUUUUGGCCAUAACAUGCAACCUUGUGGGAAGCCUCAGUGGACAGACCAAGAUUGAAUGACUAUCUCACCAGGUCCAGAUCAGGGUU